rnacentral:lncRNA from 1 species
AGGAAAUCGGGUCAAGCAUAUGAAUGACCCAACUUACUUCCUUAGGGAUUAUCAGCUCACAUAGAGAACCCUUGUACAGCCCUAAUAAACUCUUAAAUGUCCUGGAUAUGCACUGUCAUAUAGUCUAGCAGGCAGUGAUCAUCGAUGUAGCAGCAAAGAGGGCAGCUCUUUUGCCACAGCUAUUGCCAUAGUUCAGAUGAGCAAACACGAUCUUGCUCCAUAAUGACAAAGAGUUCCUUCAAAAUAUGGCAUGUCUGCAGCUCUUUGCAUCAGAAAACAAUGGAAAAAGCAUUGUUUCAAUUUAAAAUAGAGGUUAUCCCACUGUAUUGCUAGCAAGAUGAUCUAAGGCUCUGUCUGCCCAGAGAGUUGGGGGUUGAAUUGCUGACUGGGCUGGCCAAACCUCUACUUCAACACCUUCUGGCUUGGCCAUACCAAGGCUGAAAGCUUUUGUGAAAGUUGGGCUCUGAGAUGGGCUGGCUGGCUAACCUCCCCUCCCACUGCUCUGACUGCAAUUUGCGUUUCAAGUCUACAGCCCCCAAAUUUGCAGCCUUCACUUCCUCAUCCUGACCUCCUGCUUGCACUCUCAGACCUUCUGACUGUUUUUACAGCUCUGUCUGGAGAGAGCUUCUGAAGGAGUCUCACAUGGACACCUUGGGUCUACAGUCCCAGGUCUUGUCAUUGUCCUUUGGACCAAAUGGUGGUAAGAAGUACCUCAUAACUAAUGCACUUUGGAGCCUGUUGGGAUGGAUGAGGCUAGCAUUGGAUGAAGUCACUAUCUGUUAGUGAGCUAUGGACCAGGUUAUGAUGAUACUGGAUUGGUUUUACAAGAGGAUAUUAUUACCCAGUACUGAGAAACUUAGUUUCAUGCUGAAAAAGCAGUUCAACCCUCACCAAGAAGUCACUAACCAAUGUUAGCCGUAACAGUAACUAGUAAUUGUAUUUGUGAAUGAAUCAAAAAGAUUUGAGUCAUUCUUGUGGAAAGCUGAAGUCACAUUCAUGGCUGGGAUAAAUGCAUGCAGUUCCUCUGAGCAGAUGCUUUUUCUAACAUUCCAAACAUCUAAGAACCUCGACAGAGAAAUGUUUCUUUCUCUGUCAGAAAAAGACUCAUGUUCAAGGCCCCAGAACCAACACAAAGUGAUCUUUGCACCAAGGACUAUCUUUCGUAGUUCUAACAAAAUUAUACUGUUGAAGCGUGUUAUCUCGCAUCCUUGUAGAAAUGGAAAUUGGAGACGUAAUUUACCAUCGGAAAGAAGACUUCCUUCUUUUGGAAGCUGGACGGCUGGACCAGGAAACUCUGAAGACUUGAAACACUGAAACAAAAUCCCUCAGCAAAGAAAGGGCAGGCGGGUUAAUUCCAGGUUGUGCGGACCCUGAACGCCAAAUAGCAUGUGAAUAUAACUAAGCUGCGCAACUUUACAGGUUCAGUAUAAAUUCAAAGUCUGUUCCUUUCAAGCAAACUCCAGAAAACAUCRUGAAAUAGUCGUUCACGGGUCCCUGCGUGCACAGUGCGUACAGACCCCGGUGGGAGCUG